CUGCCAAUCACUUUCACCAUCCUUAUUUUUGCUCUUAUGGAUGAAAUCCCUCGCAUUAUGAUAGGCCUUAUUCACUGUCCUACUUUGUGAAGCCAUUUCCGUCAUCCUCUCUGCAAGUUCAUCAGCCUCACGCUUAUUUCCCAUUUUAUUGAAGCCAUCAAUCACUGUUAUGAAUGAUGCAGGAUCAAACUGAUAUCCACUAGCAAUUAACUUAUGUAGAACAUCACUGGCACCUUCCAACUUGUCAUCUUUACAGAGUCUGUCAAUGAGGUCCUUGUAGAGAAAUUUCCCUAUAUCAAAAAGUUUAUCCAAGGCAGUUUCAAGAAGGUCUUUAGCUUCAGCAACAUCCCCUCCAACAAGUAGCUCAUUGAACAUUAAACUAUAAAGUGGUUCUUUGUGGCCACAUACAUUCAGUGCAAUCUCAAAUAUCUCCUGUGCUGCCCUAAAAUCACAAGCCUUGCAAAAAGCUCUAAUUAAUAUUCUGAAGGAAGAAAUAUUUGGGGCAAUGCCCUUUUGCAGCAUCUCAUCCAAAACAGAAGGGGUGUCUUUAAUUCUCCCUCCUUCACAGAGACAGGUAAGAACGUUGUUAAAUGUAUAGACAUUAGGAGAAAGUCCUUUUUCU
rnacentral:misc_RNA from 1 species